AGAGUUUGAUCAUGGCUCAGAGCGAACGCUGGCGGCGUGCCUAACACAUGCAAGUCGAACGUGAAAGGGGGCAACCCCGAGUAAAGUGGCGUACGGGUGAGUAAUGCAUAGGUAAUCUACCCCAAAGUCUGGAAUAACCUGCCGAAAGGCGGGCUAAUACGGGAUAGAGCGAUGGAAUCCGUAAUUGGGUUUUUCGGGAAAGGGAGCUCGUAAGGGCCCUCGUUUUGGGAUGAGCCUAUGUCUCAUUAGCUAGUUGGUAAGGUAACGGCUUACCAAGGCAUUGAUGGGUAGCUGGUCUGAGAGGAUGAUCAGCCACACUGGAACUGAAACACGGUCCAGACUCCUACGGGAGGCAGCAGUGGGGAAUCUUGCGCAAUGGACGAAAGUCUGACGCAGCCACGCCGCGUGAGUGAAGAAGGCCUUCGGGUUGUAAAGCUCUGUCGAGCGGGACGAAAAGCUUUCGGGUGAAUAGCCCGAGAGUCUGACGGUACCGCUAAAGGAAGCACCGGCUAACCCCGUGCCAGCAGCCGCGGUAAUACGGAGGGUGCAAGCGUUGCUCGGAAUUAUUGGGCGUAAAGGGCAAGUAGGUGGUCUCAUUUGUCAGGGGUGAAAGCCUUGGGCUUAACUCAAGAAGUGCCCCUGAAACGGUGAGACUCGAGUACUGGAGAGGCGAGUGGAAUUCCCGGUGUAGCGGUGAAAUGCGUAGAGAUCGGGAGGAACACCAGAGGCGAAGGCGGCUCGCUGGACAGUCACUGACACUCAACUGCGAAAGCGUGGGGAGCAAACAGGAUUAGAUACCCCAGUAGUCC
rnacentral:rRNA from 1 species